rnacentral:rRNA from 1 species
GACGAACGCUGGCGGCGUGCUUAACACAUGCAAGUCGAACGAUGAAGCUGGAGCUUGCUCCGGUGGAUUAGUGGCGAACGGGUGAGUAACACGUGAGCAAUCUGCCCUUGACUCUGGGAUAACUGCGGGAAACUGUAGCUAAUACCGGAUACUUUCACUGGAAGGCAUCUUCUGGUGAAGAAAGAAUUUCGGUCAAGGAUGAGCUCACGGCCUAUCAGCUUGUUAGUGAGGUAACGGCUCACCAAGGCGACGACGGGUAGCCGGCCGGAGAGGGUGACCGGCCACACUGGGACUGAGACACGGCCCAGACUCCUACGGGAGGCAGCAGUGGGGAAUAUUGCACAAUGGGCGCAAGCCUGAUGCAGCAACGCCGCGUGAGGGAUGAAGGCCUUCGGGUUGUAAACCUCUUUUAGCAGGGAAGAAGCGAAAGUGACGGUACCUGCAGAAAAAGCACCGGCUAACUACGUGCCAGCCGCCGCGGUAA